AAUGCGAUAAGUAAUGUGAAUUGCAGAAUUCAGUGAAUCAUCGAAUCUUUGAACGCACCUUGCGCUCCUUGGUAUUCCUUGGAGCAUGCCUGUUUGAGUAUCAUGAAAUCUUCAAAGUAAAUCUUUUGUUAACUCAAUUGGUUUCUACUUUGGUAUUGGAGGUCUUUGCAGCUUCACACCUGCUCCUCUUUGUUCAUUAGCUGGAUCUCAGUGUUAUGCUUGGUUCCACUCGGCGUGAUAAGUUAUCUAUCGCUGAGGACACUGUAAAAGGUGGCCAAGGUAAAUGCAGAUGAACCGCUUCUAAUAGUCCAUUGACUUGGACAAUACUUUUAUGAUCUGAUCUCAAAUUAGGUAGGACUACCCGCUGAACUUAAGC
rnacentral:misc_RNA from 1 species